AAGACAGAGACAGAGUACAGUGUCACUAAAGCCAUUUCUGCUCAGGAAGCCAACAAACGUAACAACAACUGGUUACCACCCCCAUGGGCGAUUGUUGCCCUGAUUGUGCUGGGAUUUAAUGAAUUUAUGACACUUCUGAGAAAUCCCUUGUACCUGGGUUUCAUCUUUGUAGCUUUUUUAUUGGUAAAAGCCUUAUGGGUGCAACUAGACAUUUCUGGUGAAUUUAGCAAUGGAGCACUUCCUGGGCUUAUUUCUUUGUCUACGAA
rnacentral:misc_RNA from 1 species